UACGUAGGCAGCAAGCGUUGUUCGGAGUUACUGGGCGUAAAGGGUGUGUAGGCGGUUCCUUAAGUUUGCUGUGAAAUCUCCCGGCUUAACCGGGAGGGUGCGGUGAAUACUGAGGGACUAGAGUACGGGAGAGGAAAGUGGAAUUCCUGGUGUAGCGGUGAAAUGCGUAGAUAUCAGGAGGAACACCGGUGGUGUAGACGGCUUUCUGGACCGUAACUGACGCUGAGACACGAAAGACGUGGGUAGCAAACAGG
rnacentral:rRNA from 1 species